GAGGGCACCAGAAGCAUGGACCCCCAGGAGCAGGAGGGCCACGAGCAUGUGAGCGGGGCCUGGAGAUCGCGGGGGCUGCCCAGGAGGAGGAAGGACCAGGCAGAGCUCCGCAGGCGGCUGAGGGGCAGUGGGGAGCCCCAGGAUCUCAGGGGACCAGAAACAGCUUGUGUAGCCUCCACCAAAGCCCCCUCGGUCUUCCCACUGGCCCCCACCUGCGGGGGCACAUCCGGCUCCACCGUGUCCGUGGCCUGCCUGGUGUCCGGCUACUUCCCUGAGCCGGUGACUGUGUCGUGGAACUCGGGCGCCCUGUCCAACGAAGUGCACACCUUCCCAUCCGUCCUGGAGUCCUCGGGGCUCUACUCCACCAGCAGCAUGGUGACUGUGCCCUCCAGCAGGUGGUCCAGUGAGAGCUUCACCUGCAACGUAAACCACCCGGCCAGCAGCACCAAGGUGGACAAGACCGUUCCCAAAACACCAAGAACCCCUUGCCAGUGUUUCAAAUGCCCAGCUCCUGAAGUCCCCGGAGGACCCUCCGUCUUCAUCUUCUCCCCAAAACCCAAGGACGUCCUCAUGAUCGCCCGAAAGCCCGAGGUCACCUGCAUGGUGGUGGACGUGGGCUCAGAAGACUCUGCGAUCCAGUUCAGCUGGUUUGUGGAUGACCAGGAGAUACACACAGCCAAGACACACCCGAGGGAGCAGCAGUUCAACGGCACCUACCGUGUGGUCAGUGCCCUUCCCAUCCUGCACCAGGACUGGCUGAAUGGCAAGGAGUUCACAUGCAAGGUCAACAACCCAGCCCUCCCAUCGCCCACCCAAAGGACCAUCUCCAAGACCAAAGGGCAAGUCAAGGAGCCAAAGGUGUACGUGCUGCCGCCAACACCAGAGAUGCUGAGCAACAGCCGCAUAAGCCUGACCUGCCUGAUCACAGGCUUCUACCCAGAAGAUAUAGACGUUGAAUGGCAGAAAAAUGGCCAACUAUUGUCAGAGAACAACUACAGCACCACCCCGGCCCAGAAGGACAACAACGGGGACUACUUCCUCUACAGCAAGCUCUCCCUGACAAAGAAUGCAUGGGCUGCGGGGGACACCUUCAUAUGCACAGUGAUGCACGAGGCCCUGCAUAACCACUCCACGCAGAAAUCCAUCUCCCCGUCUCCCGGUAAAUGAGCAAUGCUCUCCCCGCCCCUCCCAGGGCUCUCAGGGUCCCUCCAGGACACCUGACUCCCACCCCAUGUACAUACCUCCCGGGCGCCCAGCACAAAAUAAAGCACCCAGAGCUACCCUGGGCCCCUGCAA